UGGGGAAUAUUGCACAAUGGGCGAAAGCCUGAUGCAGCAACGCCGCGUGAGUGAUGAAGGCCUUCGGGUUGUAAAGCUCUGUCUUUUGGGACGAUAAUGACGGUACCAAAGGAGGAAGCCACGGCUAACUACGUGCCAGCAGCCGCGGUAAUACGUAGGUGGCAAGCGUUGUCCGGAUUUACUGGGCGUAAAGGAUGCGUAGGCGGAUUUUUAAGUGAGAUGUGAAAUACCCGGGCUUAACUUGGGUGCUGCAUUUCAAACUGGGAAUCUAGAGUGCGGGAGAGGAGAAUGGAAUUCCUAGUGUAGCGGUGAAAUGCGUAGAGAUUAGGAAGAACACCAGUGGCGAAGGCGAUUCUCUGGACCGUAACUGACGCUGAGGCAUGAAAGCGUGGGUAGCAAACAGGAUUAGAUACCCUGGUAGUCCACGCCGUAAACGAUGAGUACUAGGUGUAGGAGGUAUCGACCCCUCUGUGCCGCAGUUAACACAAUAAGUACUCCGCCUGGGAAGUACGAUCGCAAGAUUAAAAA
rnacentral:rRNA from 1 species